rnacentral:lncRNA from 1 species
UUGAAGCAGAGUUUGCUCGUCUUACAUCUGUUGACCUGAAGAACGCUUUCUUCAACGGGUUGGAUCAGUAUUUGCCAAGGUUCCUGGAGCUGUUCAAGGCCAAGGAUGGGAAGAUAGCUGCACUGACCAGGCAGAUGAAAUGUCUUGAUGAUGAUUCCUCCAUGCAGAGGAAGAGGUCUGUGUUUCUGCUUGGCCUUCCUUAUUUUCUCAAGGAUGAUCCCUCAAGUGCAUUCAAGACUGUUCAGGCCACUGACGAGGAAGCCACAUUCACUCGGGGGAUAAAAGUUGGAGUUGUGAUGGUGAAAGAUGGAGAGAUCGUCAUUACCACAUCAGUAGUUCUUGAGGAACAAGUCGUCCUGCCUGAUGUGAAGGACAUCCCUCAUGCCAUUGCCCUACUGAUGGGUCUGCUUUUUGCCCUUAAUAUAGACUAUCCAAAGGAACUCAGGUAUACAUUUGAAGUUAUUCAAAAGAUCCUGAUGAACAUUGGCGGAGGACAGUGUUCCUCUUUUGUGCAUGGUUUGAGAAACAGACUCUUGCGUAAAACUAUGUAGAUUCUCCCGACAGGUGUCAUGUCAUGACAUAAGGAUGUCUGACAUUUUUGGAAAGCACUGUAACUUUUCCAGUUCUUAAACAUUGUUUACAUUUUAAAGUACAAGUUUGGCACGGUCUUUGCAACUUUUGAGUUUUGUUUAUUGUUACUUAAUUCCAUCGGAAAAUAUCCCC